rnacentral:rRNA from 1 species
GACGAACGCUGGCGGCGUGCUUAACACAUGCAAGUCGAACGGUAAGGCCCUUCGGGGUACACGAGUGGCGAACGGGUGAGUAACACGUGGGUGAUCUGCCCUGCACUUCGGGAUAAGCCUGGGAAACUGGGUCUAAUACCGGAUAGGACCACUGCCUGCAUGGGUGGUGGUGGAAAGCUUUUGCGGUGUGGGAUGGGCCCGCGGCCUAUCAGCUAGUUGGUGAGGUAACGGAUCACCAAGGCGACGACGGGUAGCCGGCCUGAGAGGGUAACCGGCCACACUGGGACUGAGACACGGCCCAGACUCCUACGGGAGGCAGCAGUGGGGAAUAUUGCACAAUGGGCGCAAGCCUGAUGCAGCAACGCCGCGUGAGGGAUGACGGCCUUCGGGUUGUAAACCUCUUUUAGUAGGGAAGAAGCGAAAGUGACGGUACCUGCAGAAAAAGCACCGGCUAACUACGUGCCAGCCGCCGCCGUAA